CCUGCUCAGUGCAAAAUAAACAGCCGCUCCAAGUGCUAAGGUAGCAUAAUAAAUUGCUCUUUAAUUUAGAGAUAGAAUGAAAGGAGACACGAUUUAUUAACUAUACCAAUAUAAUACCAUAAAAUUAGCAUUUAUUGUCAUAACCCAAUUUACCUUAACAGAAGGACGACAAGACCCCACCGAACUUUACUCUAGUUAUGCUGGGAAGGCCCAAAACUAUAUCUUCUUUAUUAUUAUAAAUACACGCUAUUAAUUGAAUAAAAACAAGUUACCGUAGGGAUAACAGCAUAAUAGUUUUAUAUAGCCCAUAUUCAAAAAACUGAUUAUGACCUCGAUGUUGAAUUAACACCCUCCCAAAAGAAACUCCCUGUUAAAGGAAGUCUGUUCGACUUUUAAAUUGUUACAU
rnacentral:rRNA from 1 species